UUGAAGAAGCUAGUACAAAGUCGAUACAAUCACAAAGGUUUCAAUUUCUGAGCGAUCAACGAAGAAGAGAUGACCAAUAUAUAAGGAAAAACACCCGAGUUGACCAAACGGUGAUAGUCCAAAAAUUCGUGGACGUCCAUGGUAGAUACCACAAACAACUAUCGAAUGUACGUUCUGGUUUUCAGAGGUGGUUUUAGUAUUAGAAGGGGACUUGGAGAAGAAAUGGUGCACUGGUUCGUAAACGGGAAAGCAAGCUGAAGCUUCUUCAUGGUUCUCUUCCUGUGAGAGAGACAUGCUAAGACGUUCGGAGAGGAGACAGGCCAGCGGAGACGUAGGUGCACUGGUUUCAGGUUUGUACUGGGCGGGAAACCAAUCUAAAGCUUCUUCGUGAAGCGUGGUUCUCUUCCUUUCUUGAUCAAUUCUAAAUUUUUUU